UAUCUUGCAGGUGCAGCCGUGUUGUGGGAAAUGAAAAAUGCCCUGAAUUUUGAUGGCUGAAAAGUAUUCCAUUGUGCCUGUGUCCUGGAAAUUCUUUAUCCCUUCAUCUGUGGAUGGACAGGUUUCUCCAAGUGGUUGCAGAUGACAUGAUUUCCUGAAGUGUUACAGCUGAUGUGUGUUUCCUUGUGUAUAUAUACUGUGGUUCCUUUAUCCCUUCAUCUGUGGAUAGACAGGUGCAACCGUGUGGUUCCCCACAAUAGGAUUUCAUUGUGGUUUUCUGUGUGAAGAGUAUCCCGGUAUGUACAUGUGGAGCAGCUUCUUUCUCCCUUCGUCUGUGGACAAGCAGGACCUGCUGAAGCACACACCUGUGGACCACCCAGACUGCCUGCCAGUACAGGAUGCCCUCCGCAUCUCCCGGGACUUCUUUCCAGCAUCAGCGAGGACAUUGACCCCUCUGGACUGCAGUCAUAAUGGACUCCCAAUGGGGAGGAUUGCUUUGGGAAGAGCUACUGUCCUGUGGAAGGUGCCUGACCCAGCCUUCUGCCUCUGCAUUUUAAUCCCUGACCCAAAAUAUGAUGCAGCCGAUCCCAAACAGAGGCCCCUUGAAGGAUCAGCACGUCCAGUCUGUGUCACUCCUCCCCCAACACCUUCACAGCGUGGGCUGCCUCAAGGUGAGGUGUCCGGUGCUCCAGCGACCGCCCUGAAUAACUAGUGGCUGCUUGACUCCCAACUGCCUCAGAGCUCAGGACAAGUGGAGGAACUGGUUUCUUUCUUAAAGCCAGAUAUGGCUGCAAGCCAGCUGCAACCUUACGACAGCAUCACAAAAAAUUAGUUUCACCAAAACUGAUAAACUCUUAUGAACAGGAGGCUGGCUGGGUUGCUGCUCGGGUGGUUUGGUGAGUGAAGCCCACAACCUCCCAGGGUCUCAUGGACUGAAGAGCUGAGCAGCUGUCUGAGCAGCCUGGGCUCAGGCCUGACUGAGAAGGGGCAGUGGCUGCUCCAGCACAGAGGGUGCACCUUCGUGCUCACAUCAUUUCUCACCGAGAAUUAGUCUCUACAAGCUCCUCCUCCCACCACCAGACCUCUGAAAAGACAGGGGCAGAGUACAACUCCUCUUAGAGGGUCUGUCCAUUGCCACAGCCUUCAUACCCCCAGCCCAGGAUCCUUCCCGAGGACCACGCAGGGCCUCCUUCCCUCUGUCACCAAAUGUGCAUUCCACUAACCCGAUGGCACUGUUCUUUCUCACCACUCUCCCCAGCUGCACCCAAACAGCCAGUGGUCCUGUCCUCAUCAACCCCAUGCAAAUCCCACCGUGAGAUUUCAGUUGCUGUUUGUCCCGAGCAUGUCUGAAUCGAGACUGCUGAAGAUUGAUACCAGAUUUUGACAGAUACACUCAGGAACCUUUGGUCUGAGAUGCCCCUCCCUGCUGUAUCCGCUGCUGCGGUGGUGUCGAGAUUCUCCUAAUCUGAUGAAGGCAGCCUGGAUGCGUCUCCACAUCUCGUCUCUGGAAGAGUAUGCAGGAGACUGGCUGCCUUUCUCCCAUAAACAUUUGUUAGGAAUCAGAGGAACCAAACUGUGCUGGCCUCUGAAGUUGGCGUUGUGGCCAUUUUUUUCUGUUGAUACGUUUUGUUUUAAGGAUGGUGCAGUGCUCAGAUAUUAAGUGUACAGUCUUACAGUUCCUUAUAAACAUGUUUAAACACACAGAACGUCACCAGCAUCCUGGCAGCCUGCCGUGGCUGGGGAUGGGAAUCACACCGAGCAACUAAACCAGUUACUCCAUGUGUGUUCUGAGCACAAGACUACACGUCAUUAGCACAGAAUGAGCAGGGCGGCACCCUCAGAAGCAGGUGGCAGAGCAGGAGAGUUGGAAGAAGCCAACAGAGGAGCUGUGGGAUUCACACUUCACAAAGUGCAGUGCCCAGAACAGCUCACCAGGGCCUGCCUUUGUUUAGCCAGCUGUUCAGAUUUAUAUAUUUAUCUUACAUUUUAUAGAAUCUAUUGAAAACUAGCAAUAGAUUUUGUUUAACGUAAAAAUGUUCAACAUUAAAUGUAGAAUAUAAUUCUAAACCUAAUCCCAAAUCGAUAAUAUUCAAAAACUAACUGCCCUUCAAUGAGGUGAAGCAGGCUCCUGUCUGACUCAGUCUCCCCAGAACGAAUCACACUCCAGAUCCUCUCUGGGCCUAGGAGAGAUCUGCACGUCACGGCCUUCCUGGGUGUUGGGACAGGGAUCUGCAACACAGACACAUGUCACUGGAGAGGCCAGAGAGGGAGGGAGGAGGGCUUUGCUUGGCUGGGUGUGCAGGACCCAGACGGUUCCUCAGGGCCUUAAAGUGACCUGGUGCUGAUGUCCCUGGGUCAGAUCCACAGGGCACUGAGCCUGGUUGCUGCUCUCAGGACCUCUGCUGAGGGUGUUGUGUGACCACAGAGAGUGCCUGUAAAUGUCCUGCAAGGAGCAAAAUAAACUAGAACUUCACAUGGGCAGCCCUCCAGAGAUACUGAAUAGCCCUGGAUACUGAAACAGAGGAAUGGGGAGGGCUCCAGGAUGAACAGGUAGAGUCCCCUGCACCUGGGCCCUGAGAGAACAGGAGGUCUGAUGACACAGGAGUGGGAGAGGUGACCCUGUCCCUCCACCAGGACCCUCAGCAGGAUAGGGUCAGGAACCGGCACAUCCCAUGGACAGCGUCCUGGAGCUCUUUGUUUUCCCUAAUGAUCAUUUUUUCUUUCUAAUCACCCAACCAAACUUGCCUGUACUUUUUAACAGGGAAAUCACUGGGCGGUGGGAGGACAGUUCAGGGCACCUUCACUGGCUUGCAUGGGUGCUCAAGGCACCUGUGUGGCCACCCACAAGCUGCCGCUCCGUGUUCUCCUGGGAUGUGUUGGUUUUUCUGAUGUGUCCGUAAGAAAGUGAGGGAAGGAACAGGGCCGCACGCACUUGCUUGCUUCCCUUCAUCAUGCUGCACGCUCCACACUCCCAUUUCAUCUCUCUCUUCUCCAUCUAUUAUGUCCUUCAUGUCUUGACCUGGAUGGAGAAUAAGAGAAUUUCUUGACUUGUGAAAGAAAGAGAAGAAUCAUACAUGUCCAGAGUGCCCCAGUGCAGGAAAAACCCUGUGAUAGGGGUUCCCAGAGCAGACCCAGAUUUCCCAGGAGUCCCUCCACCAUGGUGAGCCCAGCCCUUCAUACCUCCAGCCCAGCUCCCUGCCUGGAACACUCAGGGCUGCUCAGCAGGAUUCAGUGCUGCACCUUGGGGUCGGACACCAGGGCUUCAUACCACAGCCUUCAUACCCCCAGCCCAUGAUCCUUCCUGAGGACCACACAGGGCCUCCUUCCCUCUGUCACCAAAUGUGCAUUCCACUAACCCAAUGGCACUGUUCUUUCUCACCAGUCUCCCCAGCUGCACCUAAACAGCCAGUGGUCCUGUCUUCAUCAACCCCAUGGAAAUCCCACCAUGAGGGCCAAGACAGUGGGCGGAGGGCUGGGAGAGAUUUCAUAGACAGACAGUGAAGACCCAAGGACCUCAGCUGCCUGGGUGAGACCAGGCCCUUCACAAUGAUGACCCUAAAAGAGGAAAGAGGGAAUGGGGCACAGCAACCAAGAGGAAUGUAUGCAGAGGAAAGAGAAUAUCAAAGAGACACUAGUAGGAAAGAAAAUGACAUGCAGAUCGCUGUUCUCUGUAUCUGUAACUUCAUCUUCUAUAUCAUAUGCCUUGGCAGGUAUAAGAGCUGUGAUAAUAACGGGGUGGCCUUGGGGAAAGAAAGGGUAGGGUUAGAAUUGAGGCGGCACCUUGGGCCCUGAUGCUCCUGGCAAUUUAAAGCCCAGCUUCCGAACUCAAUUCUCCCUCAUCUCUACGGUCCUAUCUCAGGACCUCAUCACUUCACCUCUGCAGUUCAGGACAAGGAUCCUAAGAGAGGGAAAGAGGGAAUAGGGGAGAGCUGCAAAGAUAUCAUGAAUAAGAAAGAAGUUAGAAAAUGAGGAAGAAAGAGGAGGAAAAAGACAUGAAAGAGAAACGACACGCAGAUUGUUGCUUUCAUGGUCAGAGACUUCAGUGUGCAAAGUAAUUUUCUGAGCAUCCAUUUGCAGAAAUGGGGUGGCGCUGGGAAAGGAAAGGAGAGAGUGAUCAUGGAGGUGCACCCUGGAGGACCCGGUGCUCUUUCCAGGGAACAGCCUGACCUUAGAUUCUCUUCUAUCCUCAACGCUCCUCACCCGGAGCCUCCACAGCUUCAUGUCUGUGAUGACAGAGGAGGUCUAGGAUCUCUUGGCCUUUUCCAGCCCUCAAAUCCUGUAACUGUGAUAAGGCAGGAAUCAUACCUUGGACCCUGAACCAACAGCUCUGUUUUAGGUGCCGUGAUUCAUGUUAAUGACUUUUCUCUUCCCCCUCACCGAAGCAGCUCACAGCAUUCUGCCUCAAUGGCCCAUAUCCUUCAGUGUUUGGAAAAGCGCAUAGAAAGCAAAUCUGUGGCCACAUUUUUAAAGGAUGUCUCAGAUUCCUUCUGGCUUCUCUUCUCGACACAGACAGAAGAGGGGUCCCUUGGUGCUGAAAUAGAAGCCACAGGCCCACUCAGACAUCUGGAGAGGCUCUAGUUGGUGUUCAUUCAUUCAACACACGUAUACAAAACACCUCAUUUGUGCAUCGUUCUUCCUGUGGCUUGGCAUAAUUUAUUAAACAAAGCCGAUGACAAUCCUUGGACCUCAAGUCUACUCAGAGUCAGGCGCUCACAGUAGACAGAAUAAACAGGUCAUAUCUACAGAAUGUUAGAGGUGAAACCCUCAUGACCUCCUCUACAUAUGGUGGCAUCCUCCCAGAUUUUGACUAGAAUGACAGAGCCCAGCAACAAGUAUAAACCAGGUGAAUUUAGGGUUCUAAAGGGCCUUUUCACCCAUAAAACAUGGGGGAAAAUAUGUGGACUCUGGCUGGGAAGAGCCCUGGAGCUCAUACUUCUUAUACUCCCAUGAGAAGUCUGACAUUCUGGGACUUCUCCUAGAAGAGGCAAAUAGUCAAUGAGUUCUGUAAAUGGAGAUUUAGGCCCCCUGCAAUGGGGACAGUUUAUUUCAAGAGAGGAGACAUGGGUUGAAUGCUGGUAUGUUUUAACUCUGCAGAACAAAUAGUUGCAACAAGUGUGGUGAACUAAUCACCCACCGGCCUUUUGCUGCCUUGUUAUUGUGCCUAAAGUGUAAGUAAGUGAAUCUAUUGAAUGCCACUGCAUGCACACUUUGGCUAAAUGGUUCAAAUGAUAAAUAUUGUGUUAAGUAUAUUUUUCCACAAUAGAAAACACACACAGCCAAGCCCAGAUGCCAGUCUUGCUAGCAGCCUUCCUUUACUUUCAAGAGUGGGCUGAGGCUCAUCUGAUCGCUCAAGGUAUCUCGGAAGCUUACCAUCAAAGUAGUCUCCAUUGGAAGAGAAAUUAAUGGAGAGAGGAGAAAACUUCAGAAUCCACACUACUCACUUCACAGGGUCAACAAUUCUGUCUCCUGUGCAUUGCUGAUCCAUCUCAGUAUUUCCUGUGAAGUCCAGUAUUUCCUUUUUCAACUGAAGACUUUGCACCUGAAGGGCUUCCCAGGUUUUUCACCUUGGCCCUUGUCAGGACUGAUCCUCUCGGCUACUGUCCAUUUCACCUCCAUUCAUGUCCAUACUGUGUUGUCCAGAUGGAAUGAAUCCACCCCAAAUGUCCCUUUCAAGAGGAAGCCACCAUGAUGCUGUACCUCCAACACGUCCACACACACCGAGGCACCUCGCUCACGCAAGGUGUGUGUCCUCCAACCAAGUUUCACGCUGUAAACCCAGGUAACUUUUGAAACCCAAGUCUUGUUGAUUCCCCUACUUCAGGUGCUCCAUAGAUGCUCGUUUGUCUGCAGAACCCUGCCCCAGGCAAUUAAAUUGUCCAACGUGACCGGCAGAAUUUUUCUGUUAGUUCUGACCUUGUGUUGGGAGUACAAGUGUUUCUCCCCCUUCAAAUUUCUGUCUUUGUUACUGAUAAAAGUAUGUAACUGAUAAUGCUUUUUUUCAGCUAUGUUGCCAAGCACAUUUAUAUAAAAAUAUACUCUUAGAUUGUUUUGAGAAUUUGAUAAAGAUGAUAGCAACAAUGAUAA